AUUGAACGCUGGCGGCAUGCUUUACACAUGCAAGUCGAACGGUAACAGGCCGCAAGGUGCUGACGAGUGGCGAACGGGUGAGUAAUGCAUCGGAACGUGCCCAGUCGUGGGGGAUAACGCAGCGAAAGCUGUGCUAAUACCGCAUACGAUCUAUGGAUGAAAGCGGGGGACCGUAAGGCCUCGCGCGAUUGGAGCGGCCGAUGUCAGAUUAGGUAGUUGGUGGGGUGAAGGCCUACCAAGCCGACGAUCUGUAGCUGGUCUGAGAGGACGACCAGCCACACUGGGACUGAGACACGGCCCAGACUCCUACGGGAGGCAGCAGUGGGGAAUUUUGGACAAUGGGCGCAAGCCUGAUCCAGCAAUGCCGCGUGCAGGAAGAAGGCCUUCGGGUUGUAAACUGCUUUUGUACGGAACGAAACGGUCUGGGUUAAUACCCUGGGCUAAUGACGGUACCGUAAGAAUAAGCACCGGCUAACUACGUGCCAGCCGCCGCAGUAACAC
rnacentral:rRNA from 1 species